GUGUAUACAUACAUAUACAUAAACGUUCAUAUAUACUUACAUACAUGCAAAAUGAAUAUAUACAAAUAAUCAGACACACACACACAUAACUAUACACACUCAGACACCCAUUCCCACAAAACAAGCACACAUCAAUUCAUACGCAGAUACACCCAUACUUAGGAUACAUUUGUACACAAACAGAGCAUUAAAAACAAAAAGAAAAGGAAAGAAACGUAAAAGUACCUGUUAAUAGCUUACUAACAGGUGAUUUGUGAGCUCAUUUUCACGGAAUGGCAUGACUUGGGACAGUGCGUUUUAUUUCAUGUCGCUGCUAUCUCAGGACUAAAUACCAAUAUUUCAUAUGGAGAUUACCUGUGAUCGAUCCUGACCAGAUAUUAAGGAAUCAUUACGUUGGUAUUAAUUACUUUAGUACUGAUACAUCGAGAGUUAUGGAAACAGACUGCAGUUCUUUCUUUGGCAAUAACAGCAGCUUGACUUUUAAUUUCCAUUCGAACUCACGUUUCAACUUCUAUCGCUGGAGAUGUACUACGGUGCCAGUUGUUCACAGCCAGUGAACUAAGGUAACACCCUUUGUUUUUUGGGCACCAUUCGGAGUAUUCAAGCGGUUCCAAGCAGUGUUGUUUUCUGCAAGUGCUCUACCCUUACUGCAACCCUUGUUUGUUCCAUGUACUUCCCAAGAUUUUUACUCACUGUUCCCAGGGCUCCGACAAUUAUUGGUACUACAACCACUUUUUUCCUCGACCACAACUACUCAA